UACGUAGGGGGCGAGCGUUGUCCGGAUUUAUUGGGCGUAAAACGCUUGUAGGCGGCCACGUCGCUUCGUGCGUGAAAUCUCCCGGCUCAACUGGGAGGGGUCGUGCGAUACGGACGGGCUCGAGGCAGGUAGGGGGAAGCGGAAUUCCCGGUGUAGUGGUGGAAUGCGUAGAUAUCGGGAGGAACACCAGUGGCGAAGGCGGCUUCCUGGACCUGAUCUGACGCUGAGGAGCGAAAGCGUGGGGAGCGAUCAGG
rnacentral:rRNA from 1 species